UACGUAGGGAGCAAGCGUUGUCCGGAAUCAUUGGGCGUAAAGCGCGCGUAGGUGGCUUCGUAAGUCCGUUGUGAAAGUCAAAGGCUCAACCUUUGAAAGCCGAUGGAUACUGCGGAGCUAGAGUACGGAAGAGGCGAGUGGAAUUCCUGGUGUAGCGGUGGAAUGCGCAGAUAUCAGGAGGAACACCAAUAGCGAAGGCAGCUCGCUGGGACGUUUACUGACACUGAGGCGCGAAAGCGUGGGGAGCGAACAGG
rnacentral:rRNA from 1 species